GCGAUGAACCAGGCUGCCGUUCACCCGGCGCCUAACCGCCUUGGAAAAUAGUUAUUUCUAAAGCGGUUAGGCGCUGAGUGGAAGGAAAGUCCGGGCUCCGCAGGGCAUGAUGCCGGGUAACUCCCGGGGUUAUGGAUUUAACGAUUCAUAAAACAGCAGCGCAACAGAAAGUAUACCGCCCGACUACUUAAUUUGGAGGUGUCCAAAAAGAAUGUUUAACCACGGAGUAACACAGAGUUAUAAUAAUUUUUUAUCCUUUUCUCUGUGAAACUCCAAGCAGCUUUGGUUGCGGUACUCUGUGGUAGAAUUCUUAUAUAUUAGACACCCACAAAUUAGGUAGUCGGGUAAGGGUGAAAUGGCGGGGUAAGAGCCCGCCUCGGCUGCGGUAACGCGGCUGGAACGGCAAGCCUCAUCAGGAGCAAAGUCAUAUAGCGUGCAUUGCCGCCGUAAGGCGGCGAAACCGGUGACCCGCCGGUAAAAUGCGGGUAGACUGCUAAAAAUAGCCGGAAACGGCUGUUUUAGACAGAUGGCAGCCGCUCCGGCUUGACUGGAGAACAGAACCCGGCUUAUGGUUCAUCGCUUUU
rnacentral:RNase_P_RNA from 1 species